CUAGCGUUGCUCGGAAUCACUGGGCGUAAAGGGUGCGUAGGCGGGUUUUUAAGUCAGGGGUGAAAUCCUGGAGCUCAACUCCAGAACUGCCUUUGAUACUGAAGAUCUUGAGUCCGGGAGAGGUGAGUGGAACUGCGAGUGUAGAGGUGAAAUUCGUAGAUAUUCGCAAGAACACCAGUGGCGAAGGCGGCUCACUGGCCCGGUACUGACGCUGAGGCACGAAAGCGUGGGGAGCGAACAGG
rnacentral:rRNA from 1 species